rnacentral:rRNA from 1 species
AUGAUGGAAGUACUUUUGCAUUCUGCCUUUGUAAAGCUAUCAGUGACCCUCUGGGCUAUAUGGUGGGCCCCUCGGCAAGCAAUUCAUGAACGAAUUUUCCAAAGUCCUCAUGCUACUCACGGUUUCGUUGAGAAGUUCUUAGGGGAGCUGGAGACUAUUGGUACUAGCAAACCAAAUGCAAACACAAAUGCCACAGCCGCUACCCGACCUAGGGCACCACCAGCAGGCUUUGCCAAAAUCCAUGUCGAUGCCGGAGUUGCACGGCACAACAGGGGAGGAACAACGGCGGCAAUCUGCAGGGAUGACAGUGGCAAUUACCUGAGCAGCUCAGCUUUGGUAAUCCCAGGGGUGUGUGAUGUGGCGACAUUGGAAGCUCUCGCUUGCCAGGAAGCACUCGCGCUCGCUGAAGAUCUGCAUAUUCAUCAGUUUAUCAUAGCUUCAGAUUCAAGAGAAGUGAUCAACGACCUAAACAAUAGCUAUAGAGGGAAGAAUGGCGCGAUCAUCUCAGAGAUUAACCUCCGAGCUUCUGGUUUCAAUUGUUCUUUUACUUUCAAAGGCCGGCUGUCGAACGGUGAUGCCCAUAGAAUAGCUAGAUCAUCACUUUCUACAGCAGGGCACCAUCUUUGGCUUGUUUACCCCCAUGCAAAUUGUAUUCCACAAACUGUGGUUUUUGAUCAAUAA